rnacentral:misc_RNA from 1 species
GAUGAAGAACGCAGUGAAAUGCGAUAAGUAAUGUGAAUUGCAGAAUUCAGUGAAUCAUCGAAUCUUUGAACGCACAUUGCGCCCGCCAGCAUUCUGGCGGGCAUGCCUGUUCGAGCGUCAUUUCAACCCUCGCAGCCCAUCUGGGCAGCGGUGUUGGGGACCGGCACCACCGGCGAAGCCCUUAGGGGCCCAGCCGGCGCCGCCCCCGAAAUACAGUGGCGGUCUCGCUGCAGCCUCCCUUGCGUAGUAGCACACCUCGCACCGGAGCGCAGCGCGGCCACGCCGUAAAACCCCCGACUUUCUGAGUUUGACCUCGAAUCAGGUAGGAAUACCCGCUGAACUUAAGCAUAUCAAUAAGCGGAAGA